GGAGGGAAUUGUGGGGGAGAUCAGAGGUGCAGCUCUGCUGGAGAGACCUGAGGCUUGCAACGCUGGGCCCGGCCGAGUCGCUGCGGCUGGGCUGGAGGUGAGGCGAAAGAAGGGCAUCCUCUGAUGGGAGUGGACCGGAGUCCGCUAAAGCGAAACAUUCCAGGGUUCGUUGCGGGAAAUACAGUCUGGUUUUGCCCCCCGUAUUAAUUGAGGGAAGGUCAAGGAUGCAUUCCAGGAAAGUUCCAUAAAAAUAUACCAUCAACUCCAACCUGAUAUUUGACCUAGCUGUGGAAAACCUCAUUGGCUCCUCACUAGAUCAGACCAUAAAAAUGAUUCAGGAAUGAAAAUCUAAGAUAAAUUCCCACCACUUCAAGAUGUUCUUAUACAAGUCAACAGUCUAGCAGAUCAGCCAGUCUCUUUCAUCAUCAAGCAGACAUACUCAAGAAAGAGGAAUAGUGAAGUGAAAUAUACAGAAGCAUGUUCAAGUUCAUCUGUUGAAUGUGGAAUUGUGAAUAGUGACAAUAUUGAGAAAAAUACUGACUCCAAUCUGCAAACUUCAACUUCAUUUGAGCCACAUUUCAAAAAAAAAAAAGUAAGUGCAAGACGUUAUAAUGAAGAUUACUUAAAAUAUGGCUUUAUCAAAUGUGAAAAACCCUUUGAAAAUGACAGACCUCAGUGUGUUAUUUGUAAUAAUAUUCUUGCGAAUGAAAGCUUAAAACCUUCGAAAUUAAAAAGGCACUUAGAAACUC
rnacentral:sRNA from 1 species